CCUACGGGGUGCAGCAGUGGGGGAUAUUGCACAAUGCGGGAAACCCUGAUGCAGCGACGCCGCGUGUGGGAAGACGGUCCUCUGGAUUGUAAACCACUGUCCCCAGGGACGAAAAUGACGGUACCUGGGGAGGAAGCUCCGGCAAACUACGUGCCAGCAGCCGCGGUAAUACGUAGGGAGCGAGCGUUGUCCGGAUUUACUGGGUGAAAAGGGAGCGUAGGCGGGGAUGCAAGUUGGGUGUAAAAACUACCGGCUCAACUGGUAGUCGCACGCAAAACUGGAGCUCUUGAGUGAAGUAGAGGCAGGCGGAAUUCCUAGUGUAGCGGUGAAAUGCGUAGAUAUUAGGAGGAACACCGGUGGCGAAGGCGGCCUGCUGGGCUUUUACUGACGCUGAGGCUCGAAAGUGUGGGGAGCAAACAGGAUUAGAUACCCGUGUAGUC
rnacentral:rRNA from 1 species